AAGUGCUGCCCGAGAGGAAUGAUGGAAAGUCAUGUCAAGACCCAGCAGACAAACUGCAUAGCUUGUCCACGAUCCAGGGAGCCUGUGGCUUGGGAGUGGGGUGGUCACAAACAGCAGAAGAGAUACAGCCUCAGAGAACUCCAAGCAGUCUGCCCAGCCUGUUCUCUACCAGGCAGUCGGCCCCAGCAGAGGCAACUUUGUAAAGAUGAAGAAAUCCAGAUGUGGACUGUGGGAGAGUUCUGGCCUCACUCAGCAUCUGCCUUUCCCUGACUGACCUGAUGAUGGGCCUGGCAGUGAAGUGAGACAGGCAACUUCCCAGACAGAGCAGGGCUACAGCAGCUCAACUCCAUACACAUAAGGGGUUAUGGUAAUUACAUAGUCUCCCUCUUUGGUCUCCCGUUCAAGUACACACCAGGACGGACCCCACUCACUUAGCUUCUGAGAUCAGUUGAGAUCUCACACGUGGGAUGGUACAGGCCUAGGCCUCACCCUCCUGGGACAGUGCUUUCCAGAAGCCUCAAGAACCUAGGCAGACUUUACAAUCUGUCCAGUUUCUGGAGGGUGAUGUCUGUGAGAGAAAGUAAAGAUUCUGCAUUUACUUUCUUUCCAUUCCACAGACGACUUAGUGCUCAUGAAACAGUCACUGGGUAUUAACAUACCCAGGAGAUGAAUAUGCUUUUAGCUCAAGAUGAAAAUAUCCUGGUAAUAAUCAAAAUUUUAUGAAAGUGAGCUGUUUCCCACCAUUAAGGGAAAAAAAAAAAAAAAAAAAAAAAAAAACUUCCAACCCAAGCAUUUUGCCACCGUACCAUUAGAAAGCUUGACCUAGCCUUUUAAGAGAACCCUGUAGGGAGGCAACCCUUCUCCUCGGGGACCUAGCAGAUCAUCAUUAUGUGCAAGCUCUGGCCCAGGUAUCUCGUCUCUCGCUUGCUAGAGGCACUGUGAUGCUGCUUUUAAAGCUAUCUCAGAAGUUAGAAAACGGGGAGUGGGGGUGGGUGGGUAUGGGGGACUUUUGGUAUAGCAUUGGAAAUGUAAAUGAGCUAAAUACCUAAUUAAAAAUGGAAAAAAAAAGAAGUUAAAAAAAAAAAGUUAGAAAACUCGUCUGUGGGGCAGAUCAGCCCCUGCCCGAUUUUGUGUGUUCUGAAAGAAUAAUAGCUUUUACUUUUUUAACGGGUUGAAACAAAACUGAAAAGACAUUAACAUUUUAGUGCCCACAGGUACAUUUUCAUUGGAUACUCUGUGUUGGCAGGAAUUUGAAUAUGUACCUCAAAAGAUUCAUGUCCUAGAAGCUUGGACCUCAGCGUGGCACAGCUGAAGGGUGCUGUAACCUUUAAGACAUAAGGUCUAAUGGGAGAUAGUUAGGUCACGGGAGCAUCGUCCUCUGAAAACAGUAAUGUAGUUCUCAUCAGGCCCUGGUUUGUUCUCACAAGAACAAGUUGUUAUAAAAAGGACAAACAGACCACGGAGCUUGUCUUUCACCCUAUCUCUUUAUGUGAUCCCUUCUGCAUUUCCUCCCAUUAUUGUAAUGACACACACCAUGGCCCUCAUGACAUGAACAACCGGAUCUUCAACUUCCAUCCUCCAAAACUGUAAGCUACGUAAACCUCUUCUCCCUUAUAAAACGCUCUGCCUUGGGCAUUUCCCUCCCGCAAACAGACUGCUAUACUGGGACAGAACCAUGGUGAUUCAUCUGUACACUGUCUGUGGAUGUUUGCCUGCUAUGGCAGUGCAGUGGAGGUCUAAUAGAUGGUGAAUCCUCUACGGCCCAAAAUAUUUACUGUCUGGCUUGAGAGAAAAAGUUUGCCAUUCUCUUCUCUAAUCUUAAUGCCUGGAUGAUUCAGAUUUUAUACUUAGUUUCCUAGAUGAUGCAGAUAACAACACUUAGAAGAGACUCUCUGCUAAUUUGAUGAUGUCACACCCUUUUUCAGUAUACGGAACCCACCCAUAUGCUAAGGUAAAUAAACCAACCACAAACUGUGCCAGAGCAGAGACUCAAGCCAGGUUUAAUGGUCAUUGUCUAGUUAUAGAGCCCAUGGGCUCUGAGGUUUGCCAGCCUGGUGUACACAGUGGGGGGAAGAGUCCUAGACACAGAAAAAAAAAAAAGAAUUACAAGGCAAGAACAAACAUAAACCUGGAAAAUUGGCUUUGUUCUCCUCAGACAGGUCUACCCUUUCCUGGCCUCUUUCAGGGGCCCCAUAGAUAACAGC
rnacentral:lncRNA from 1 species